GACAGAGGGUGCUAGCGUUGUUCGGAAUGACUGGGCGUAAAGGGUGCGUAGGUUGUUAGGCAAGUAAAAUGUUAAAGCCUUGAGCUCAACUCAAGAAUCGCAUUUUAAACUACCUAGCUAGAGUGUGGGAGAGGAAAACGGAAUUCCUAGUGUAGAGGUGAAAUUCGUAGAUAUUAGGAAGAACACCAGAGGCGAAGGCGGUUUUCUGGAACACUACUGACACUGAGGCACGAAAGCGUGGGGAGCAAACAGG
rnacentral:rRNA from 1 species